UCGGUCCCGAGUAGAGUGGCGCACGGGUGAGUAACGCGUAAGUGAUCUACCCCUGUAUCUGGGAUAACUGUGGGAAACUGCAGCUAAUACCGGAUACGUUCAUGUAGUUGCGAUUAUGUGAAGAAAGAUGGCCUCUGAUUCAAGCUAUUGUACAGGGAGGAGCUUGCGUACCAUUAGCUAGUUGGUAGGGUAAUGGCCUACCAAGGCAACGAUGGUUAGCGGGUCUGAGAGGAUGAUCCGCCACACUGGAACUGAAACACGGACCAGACUCCUACGGGAGGCAGCAGUGAGGAAUAUUGCGCAAUGGGGGCAACCCUGACGCAGCGACGCCGCGUGGAUGAUGAAGGCCUUCGGGUCGUAAAAUCCUGUCAGAUGGGAAGAAGUGUGUGAUGGUUAAUACCCAUUGCAUUUGACGGUACCAUCAGAGGAAGCACCGGCUAACUCCGUGCCAGCAGCCGCGGUAAUACGGAGGGUGCAAGCGUUGUUCGGAAUUACUGGGCGUAAAGCGCGCGUAGGCGGCUUGUUAAGUCAGAUGUGAAAGCCCAAGGCUCAACCUUGGACGUGCAUUUGAAACUGGCAGGCUUGAGUAUUGGAGGGGGUGGUGGAAUUCCCGGUGUAGAGGUGAAAUUCGUAGAUAUCGGGAGGAAUACCGGUGGCGAAGGCGACCACCUGGCCAAAUACUGACGCUGAGGUGCGAAAGCGUGGGGAGCAAACAGGAUUAGAUACCCUGGUAGUCCACGCCGUANACGAUGAGAACUAGGUGUUGGGACGGUUGAUCGUCUCANUGCCGCAGCUAACGCAUUAAGUUCUC
rnacentral:rRNA from 1 species